rnacentral:lncRNA from 1 species
GGGCAUUUCAAACAAUUUAGAAGCAAGUAUAAUAUUUUUACCAUAUUUAAUUUACAUAAAAUAAAGCACAAAAAAUCACACUUGAAUGAAUGACAUGCUCAUGUGAUGCUAUGCUUGAUGAGGAUGCUUAUGGAUGAGUUUAUGAGAGUAAGUGCAAGCUUAACACCUAUGCUGUUACACCGCCGUUCCGCCAUGGCCG